GACGAACGCUGGCGGCGUGCUUAACACAUGCAAGUCGAACGGAAAGGCCCUGCUUUUGUGGGGUGCUCGAGUGGCGAACGGGUGAGUAACACGUGAGUAACCUGCCCUUGACUUUGGGAUAACUUCAGGAAACUGGGGCUAAUACCGGAUAGGAGCUCCUGCUGCAUGGUGGGGGUUGGAAAGUUUCGGCGGUUGGGGAUGGACUCGCGGCUUAUCAGCUUGUUGGUGGGGUAGUGGCUUACCAAGGCUUUGACGGGUAGCCGGCCUGAGAGGGAGACCGGCCACAUUGGGACUGGGAUACGGCCCAGACUCCUACGGGAGGCAGGAGUGGGGAAUAUUGCAAAAUGGGCGGAAGCCUGAUGCAGCAACGCCGCGUGCGGGAUGACGGCAUUCGGGUGGUAAACCGCUUUCGCCUGUGACGAAGCGUGAGUGACGGUAAUGGGUAAAGAAGCACCGGCAAACUACGU
rnacentral:rRNA from 1 species